UGGAUCCCAGAGGAAGACCAGACCCAUCUUGUCACCACUGGACUUUGUACAGGACCAUCUCUACUCCCCAGGACCACACCUGUUACUCCAGGAGGAGUUAUUUGGACUGCUUCCAACACCCUGACCACCAAGGGUGCCAGGUGUAAUAUUUAUUAUGGAUGUUAGAAAGCACAUGAUAAUUUUCUUCCAUUGCUAACUUCCAUUUUGAGAGAAGAGCCAUGCAAAGGAACUCAAGACCACAAUUAUGAUUUCCUGUUCUGAGUCCAACACACCAUAAGAGGAACAACAACACAAAUGUGCAGAUUUUGCCUAGUACAAGGACACAGACACUUCACAGGAGAAAUAAGAAAAAAGGCAACAAAACGCUGUAUCCAGACAUCUCAUCGUAGGUCGCAUGUGGAGUUACAGUUCUGUCUGACAAGCGG